GGCUGCGGGGAAGGGGAACAGGAGGGCGGCUCUCGGCCCCCAGGAGAGGUUGAAUAAAGGAUGAUGUAGUUUAACUGGGUGGGGAUGGGCGUAGAUGAGUCCAAUAGAGACAUCUACUGGAUGGGCUUAAAACCAGACCGCUGCUGCCUUAGCCAGACUGGCUGCACUGGGAAUAGAUGAGAAACGGGUCAGUUAUAGGUACGGAAGAAGAAGAAAAGGAGGGUGGCUGAGCAGGGGAUCAGGACGCUUAAAAUACUCUUCGCUCAACACAGGGAGGAGCGCGCUCAGGCUUGAGGGGCUACAAUUAACGCUUCAGGCUCACUUUGGGGCCUGGCUGUCUGCUGUUAUGAAGAGCAUCUUCUUGUCAAUUUCCAGCAAAUGAUAUUCCUCAUUAAAGAAGAAGGUUCAUCGCACUGGCUAGGAAAAGGUGGAUGCAACCUUUGUAAUUGCCAGAGGGAUGUUAUGUGAACAUGAAUGAGGCCCUAAUCCAACAAAAAUAUAAAGAGGGAUGAUUUCCUCUGAGGAGAAUGAAGAUAUUUCGCAGUAACAGAAGAUGAGGAUAAUGCAGCAAACAGACAGCAGGGUUACUGAGCCUGAAAGGCAAUAUUGGUGGGCCCAGGUAGCCCUGCCAGUACAGGUCUGCCGAGCAUGCUCCAGCUGGAGGAAUGGGUUACAAGGAACUCCAAAGCCGACAAAAGGAGUGGUGGAUAGCUUGCAGGAGAGAAGACUCCUUGUCCAGGAAGCCAGAGAGAAGCUGAAACCUUGUCCAUCGAUACAUCCUCCACACUGGAACAGAAACUUUCCCAGAUUAGAAGGUGGAAAAAGAAGACUCGGGAGGAUAUGUUCAAUGAGUUAAUGCAUGCCUCUGAGAGUGACAAGACAGAGCUCAGCGCAUGGAGGAUUACACUUCCGAGAACCUGGACAUGGACAGGGAGGACAGGAGAGCAUGCAGGGAACAAGAGCGUGCCAUGAAGGAAGAGAUGCUGAGGAUUAUGAGGGAGCCAUCAGACAUGGUUAGGCAUCUGGUUGAGGUUCAAGAAAGGCAGCUGGAUGCUAGAGUCCCUCUGCAUCCUCAGUUGAACCUGCUGCCAUCAUCGCCCAGGUCUACAUUCUCCUCCCCAAAACAUCCUAUGAGGUGGGAUGGGGAAGUUUGGUAUCCCUUGCACUCAACUCCAGUGGCGGGUACAAGGAACAGAAGGUGCCCAUUCCCACACCUUUGUUUGCUAUUGCAGUGCAAUUGUGAGCAAGCUGUCCUUGUUUCUCCCUCCCCCCAGUGUUAUCAGCCCUUUUGCCCCAAGUUAUCUUACUUUUCUUU